UACUGAAAUUUCCUUUAGCUUACAGAAGCCUUUCUUUUUUUCCUCCCUACUUUCAUGGUUGACAGCACGGUAUGAUAACCUUCCAAGAGUAAUGGACUCGUGUGUCUGUGCAUGAAGAGGUUGCUGAAUUAUAAAGCUCUUCACAGCUGUUGCAGAGGAGUGCUAACACAGAGUCAAGGACUUUGCUUCUCAUUCUGCACUGCCAGCAAGGUGGUUUGGGGGUGUGCAAGGAAUUGGGAGUUGACACAGCCAGGACAGCUGAGCCCAACUGACCAGAGGAAUAUCUAAUACCACACAGCAUCAUGCUCAGUAGUGAGACCGAGAGGAGUCAGCUGGUGGUUUCACAGCAGCAGUGAAAGAGGCCGCUCUGUGACAUGGGGCAUUAGAGGGACACGUGAAUUCCAGUGAAUGCUGUGUACUGACUCAUGACAGCUGCACAGCCUUACCUCAUUUGACUUGCACAGCACAGCUCACAGGACUACCAACAACACCUUGCUGAAAUGCAGAUGCAAGUGAAUAGGAGACAGCCAACAAUCAGAAUUAUUUCAAGAAAAUCUUGCAAUAAUGCAUCUGCUUCAGCUUUUGCCUUUCUGGUAAAUAUCAAGGCCUUAUUAUAAAUAGAGACAUUUUGGGUAGAAGGCUGAAAAGCUACAGUGCAACAGUGCCAUCCCCUGCCUGAAAAAAUCAUCGUCUCUCCUCUCAAAAGAAGACAAGGAUUGAAAUACUCCACCAAUGCCAGCUGUAUCUAGGUGGGAGGUUACCUGAAAACAUCAACGUAAGUGCAGCGUGAGCCACAUUGCAGUAAUACUGGUGGGGAAUUGCAUUGUACAAUCUAAAUUCAGAAGAGUUCCUUUAUAGUUAGCACCACGAAGCUUAUGUAAAAAUAAACUGCUUGAGAUUUCACACAUUUUACAUUUAAACUUAAUUUUCAAGAUCUUACCCAGCACGCAGUCUGGGAGAGGGAAGCAAUUUGCAUCCUUUUGCAGUAAGCAGAAAUGAAGAGAUUCCCACAUGCACUAAGGUAAUCCUAUAAUAUGCUUGAAAAAAUAUUUGUUCCUCUGUACUACUGUUUUACAUGCUAACUCCUGUUUGUAAUGGAAGCAAAGAGAAUUUAUUCCCAAAGGUCUGUGCAAAGUACCAUAGCAGCUCUAACAUCUCACAGAUCAACAUUAGUUGAUUAAUCCAAAACAUCAGCAACACACACAAAAAAAACCCCAAAAUUUUAGUUCAGCAUCAGCUUUUGAACAGAUCAGCUAAAUUGUAAUACAAUUGUACAUGAAAUUAAAUAUUGCAUGGAACUGUGUAUUAAAUGCAAUAUUAAAAGACAAAACAGGACUAAAGAAAACUUAAGAAGCAGACAGAAGUAAACCAAAGGGCAAUCUCAAAAGGAUUUCACUGCAUACUUCAUUAGCACUUUUAAUUUAGAGGAAUCUCAGAGGAACUUUCAUGUAUUAACGGAAUAGGCAGGACUCCUUUUUUGGCUAUUGUAGAUGCUAAAUCUCAUUCUUUCCACAGUAAUAAGACAGGAACACCACAAAGUCAAAAUUAAGCACAAAGUUGGCUGUGAAAUUGGUAGUAUAGACAUAGUAUAUUGCACCAUUAGUGCACAUUUCCUAAAUAUUGCAAGUAAAGUGGAAACACAGCCAGAGCUGUUUACAUACCCUCCUCCAGUUUUCUCUUUCUACAGCAUCAUUCUAACUCAAUUGGGCAGACCUCCGUCAGAAGAAGCCUUCCUUCAAAAAAGACAGAAGCCUGAUCUCACAUGCUGUCAACCCUCUAAGCACAGGCUACCAUCUGACUGCUUUUAGAUCUCCAACUUGUUUAUCCUGAUUAUUGCAAUCACAAGAGCUCAAAACCACCUUUAAAGCAGCUGCAGGACUGUUUUGCCAUGUUUUUUCCUGCCACUGUUAUUAUUGUCACUUUCACUAAACAACUGCAGGGAAUUACUACUUUUUAAAUCACUGAAAUUCUUAGUGCUGCCUCUUUCAGUUAGGCUCUUGGAAAGUGUUACUGCAAGAAAACUGUGGGUUUCAGUUCUUAUGCAGCUCCUUGCAAUUUCCUUGCCUGAUAAGGAAUAAAUAAAAGGUUGGUGACCUGCCUCUCCUUGGCUCAUUUACACUCAUAGCGACCUGCCUCCUGGCAAACCAUGAUGGGACUCAACUGGGAUCACAUGGAGUCCCAUCAUCCCUGCCAAGCCAGGU